rnacentral:rRNA from 1 species
UGAGGAAUAUUGGUCAAUGGACGAGAGUCUGAACCAGCCAAGUCGCGUGAAGGAUGAAGGUCUUAUGGAUUGUAAACUUCUUUUAUGCGGGAAUAAAGGGCGGCACGCGUGCCGUUUUGCAUGUACCGCAUGAAUAAGGAUCGGCUAACUCCGUGCCAGCAGCCGCGGUAAUACGGAGGAUCCGAGCGUUAUCCGGAUUUAUUGGGUUUAAAGGGUGCGCAGGCGGCUUCUUAAGUCAGCGUUGAAAGUCUUCGGCUUAACCGGAGAAUUGGCAUUGAAACUGGGGAGCUUGAGUGUAAAUGAAGUGGGCGGAAUUCGUCGUGUAGCGGUGAAAUGCAUAGAUAUGACGAAGAACUCCGAUUGCGAAGGCAGCUCGCUAACAUACAACUGACGCUGAGGCACGAAAGCGUGGGGAUCAAACAGG